AGUACAUAGGAGGUAUAUAUAUUUAUAAGGUACAUGACACCUGGCUGUAAAUGACCUUGUUAAUGUUUCAUUGCAUAUGUGUGUGCUUCAUUGUUUUUUAUUCGUUUUUCUUUUGGUUCCUCUGACCGUAUAUUUUCAAAUAGGCUGUCUUCAAGCUCACUAAUACUUCCUUAUGCUUGAUUGAGUCUAUUAUUAAGUGACUCUCAGACAUUCUUCAGUAUGUCAACUGCAUUUUUCAACUCCAGAAUUUUGGCUUAAUUCUUUUUAAUUAUUUCAAUUUCUUUUUUAAAUGUGCCUGAUAGAAUUCUGAAUUUUUUCUCAAGUUAUCUUGAAUUCCUUUGAGUUUCUUCAAAAUACUAUUCUGAAUUCUUCAUCUGAAAGGUCACAUGUCUCUUUUUCUUCCAGGAUUUGUCCCUGGUGCCUUGUUUCGUUCAUUGGUGAGGUCAUGUUUUCCUGGAUGAUCCUGAUUCUUGUAGAUGUUUUUUGGUAUCUAGGCAUUGAUGAAUUAGGUAUUUAUUUUAGUCUUCUCAGGCUUGUUUGUGCCUGUCCUUGAGAAGGCUUUCCAGGUAUUCAAAGGGACUUGGUCUUCCUGUUUGAUAUCUCUGUGGUUGUUGCAGACUCAUAGAGGUUCUGCUUUGGUGGUCUUGCAUAAGAUCCAGAAAAAUUACCUGGAUUUCCAGGCAGAGACUCUUGUUUUUUCCCCUUACUUUCUCCCAAACAAAUGGGGUCUCUCUCUCUCUGUACUGAGCCACCUGAAAUUGGGAGUGUGGUGAUGCAAGCACCCCUGUGGCCACCACCACUGGCACUGCACUGGGUUAGACCUGAAGCCAGCACAGCACUGGGUCUCACCCAAGGCCUGCUGUAACCACUACUUGGCUACUACCUGUGUUCACUGAAGGCCCUAGGGCUCUACAAUCAGCAGGUGACAAAGCCAGUGAGAUUUUUUCACUUCCCUUCAGAGCAGUGAGUUUUCCCAGGCCUUGGGUGGGUACAGAGAUGCUGUUUGGGAGCUAGGGAUUGAAGUAAAAUGUCUUAUAAAUUUACCUUAUGUUCUGCUCUACUGCUGCUAAGCUGUCACUCAAAUCACAAGACAAAGUUUUCCCCACUCUUCCCUCCCCUUUUCACAGGUAGAGGAGCUCUCUCUGUGGCCACCAUUACCACCGGCCCAUGAGGGGUUCUGCCAGGCCACUGCAUAUGUUUGCUGACAGCCCAAGGGCUCAUCAGUCAGCUUGUGGUAAAUGGUGUCUGGCCUGGGUCUCACCCUUUAGGGAAGUGGGCUCUCCUGUGGCCCAGGGCAGGUCCAGAAAUGCUGUUGAAGACCCUAGGCCUGGUCUUGAGGGCCCCAAGAGCCUGCUUGGUGCGCUACACCACUGUGGCUGAACUGGUACCUAAGAUGCAAGGCAAAGCCUCCUCUUUACUUUUGCCUCUGCUUUUCUCAAACAGAAGGAGUCUUUCACCAUAGCCACCACAGCUGGGAAUAUGCUGAGUCACACAUUUAGUUAGCAAAUCUCAGAGCCCAAGGCCCACUACAUACCACCUGGGUACUGCUGCUGGUUAUUUAGGGCCCAAUGGUUCUGUAUUCAGCAGAUGAUGAAUUCUGCCAGGACUGUGUUCUUCCCUUCAAGGCAGUAGGUUCCCUUUUCACCCAGGGGUGUCUAGAGAUGUUGUCCAGGAGCUAGGGCUUGGAAUGGGGGCCUCACAACUCUACCCAGUCUCCUAUCCUACUGUGGCUGAGGUGGUAUCCACGAUGCGGGACAGAAUCCUCUGUACUCUUCACUCUCUUCACUUAAACAAAGGGAAUGAGACACUUUCAUUUGUGUGAGCUGCACUGCCUGAGAUUGGGGGUGGGGUAGCGCAAGCACCUUUUUUUAGUCACCCCAGCUGGUGUCUCUUUAGGUCACAUGUCACUCUAGUCCUCUGGCUCUGAGCCUAGCUCAGCAUUAGAAAUUGCCUAAACAUUGCAGUCCUUCUGUCCUAGACUGACCUUUAAGUUUACCUAGGACUCCAGAGCUCUUUGGCUGGCAUUUGCGAGGCUUGCCAAGAAACUUGAGUUCUGAAAGAAGGAAUGGGCAAUUCCUCUUUGAGUGGGUCUUCUUCAAAUGCUCCCUUCGUGCACUGGCACUGAUUGAGCCCAGCCUGGCUCUGCUCCCAUCUCUCCAACCCUCUUCAAUGCCUCAUCCAAUGAUAUGAAGUUAAAACCAGGUACUGUGAUUGCUCACCUGAUUUUUACUUCUAUGUUGGUGCUUUUCUUUGUGCAGAUAGUUGUUAAAAUUUGGUGUUUAUGUGGGGUGUAUGAACCAUGUAGGCUUCUAUUGCACCAUCUUGCUCAUCCUCCUCUGGCAGUGUUUUUUUGCCUAGAACUUAGGCACUGCUGAUCCCUGACCCCCUUUGGAUUCCCACAAGAGCCCUGCUUGGGCUCAGCCCACACAGACCCACAGAGAACAUUUUGCCAAGUGAGUGGAAUCUGGCCCUCCCCUUCCAGGACAAUCUGCACAACAAAAAACCACCUGAUUGCCUUUGGUGCUAUUACCCAAGGUCUUGGGGUCUGGCCUCUUGGGAAAAGGGCAGGAACAGAUAGAGAAGAGUGGUUCAGGGAAAGAAGGGCAGAAGGUUGGAGAAAUCUAGUCUUUGAGCCUCUUUGGUGAGGAAUUUCAUUUC
rnacentral:lncRNA from 1 species